CUGGAAUUGAUACGAUCAAAUAAAGUAUUUGGAAAAAAAAGGAAGAAUCGUUGGCAAUACAUUAAAGCCGACACUAGUUUUUGGUAAGUAUAUACAUUUGUACUAAUAUUGCUGUCAAUUAUUACUAUACAAUUUUACUAAAAUUAUGUUUACGACCAGGGCAAACAGUUUUCAUAUAAAUUUUAAAAAAAAUGACCAGUGUUUAUACAUGAGAGCGCAGGAGUUAAUUUAUGCGAGCGCCAGUGUUAAUAUUAUACAAGUACAAUUUGGUGUUAUUUCAAAUGAACUGAUAUAUCGAGACUAUAUUUUGUAUGUAUUAAAUGGUUGUCGUUGGUAGAUGUCUGUAAGAUUUGUUUUGGUUUAUUGCUUUGACAUAAAUCAAGACCAUUGACUUACUACUUUAAAUAAAGGCAACAGUAGUAUACCGAUGUUCAAACUCAUAAAUCCAUGGACAAAAAACAAAAUCGGGGUAACAAACUAAAACUGGGGGAAACGCAUUAAAUAUAAGAGGAGAACAACGACACAACACUACAUUUCCGAUUUUGCCAAUUUGGGACCUAUUACAGCUUAAAACAUCCGGGAAUGAUUUGUGGAUUGUUUGAAGUCGUAUGGUGUUUACAUCCGAAACAUGUAGGCUCUGGUGGAAUUCAUCAUUUGUUAUUGCAUUUUUUAAGCCAUCUAUUGAAGGUUUGACUGUCAACGUGUCUGCUUUAUUCAAGGCUGACAAAAUAUUUUGUUAUUGAGAAAAACUUUUUCUUUUAAGUUUAGGUGGUCCAUUCAAAUUUUUCAUUGGUUGGAGAAUUGAAAUAACGAUUUGCAAGUUCACAAUGUUAAAAAGAUCCACAUUUACUUUACAUAGACAUUCAGAAAAUUUUCAUUGGCACAAAAUAACCCUCUGUUAAAAGAGAUUAUUGAAAUCAAGUCUCCUUUAAUCUAAAAGUACAAUUCUUCAGAUCAUAAACAGACAACUUAAAAAUCAAUCAAUCUAAAUAUAUAUAUGCUGAAUCCACUACAUAUUGCCACACGAUUAGGUAAAACACGCAAGAAACAUCAAAAACUUUCUCCCAUUUUUGAAAUUAAAUAUCCCACUCAUUUACGUUAUAUACAAAGUUCAAGUAUAUAGCACUUUAAUUAAGGUCAUUUGGCCAAUAAAAACAUUCCGCAGUACAAUUUAUUUCAUAUAUGAAAAAAGAAAAUAAAAGUUGUAAAUACAUCAGAAACCCCCUAGCUAUUACAAUUUCAGCAUGUGAUAAUUUUAAUGUUUACAAAAUACAAAACGUUUUCGGAAAGUCAGUAAUGAAACAAAAUAUUAAAAAAAUUAACUUUAACAAUCCUAUUUAAAGGUAUAAAAAUAACUUUUUGUUUAUCUGGUUAACAAUACAUAAAACAGGUUCUCAUAUUUUGAAUAGUUUUAAAUAGAUUGUUUAAAAGAUUAACGAUUACAAUAUUAUAAUGAAUUAUGAAAACAAAACAAAAAUUCACAUUUGUCCACUAAAUAGUCAAGGUCAAGCGAGAAAAGAAAAACGCUUUAAGUUAUUCUUUUGGUUUCAACAACAAGAAAAAAAAAUAAAAUCACAAAAAUACUGAACUCAGAGGAAAGUAUAAUCGGAAAAUCCAUAAUCACAUGGCAAAAUCAAAUGACAAAACACAUAAAAAACGAAUGGACAAGAACUGUCAUAUUCCGGACUUGGUACAGGCAUUUUCAAAUGUAAAAAAAUGUUGGUUUAAACAUGGUUUUAUUGCGCUAAACCUCUCCCUUUGAUGACAGUCUCAUCAAAUUCCGUUAUAUUUACAAUGCUGCGUGAACUAAUAAAUAAAACAGUCAAAAUAUGGGUACAUCAGUCAUCAUCGUGUAACAAUUCUAAAAGGAACAUUUUAAUGGCGCAAGAAACAUAUUUGUCUCAAGAUAUAACAAAGCAAAUUAACAAUGAAUCAGCAAGCAUCUUUAUAACCUAGGCACAACAAACUCUAGGGGAGUAUCUUUCUUCAUUAACAAAUCACUUGAUUUACUGAAUUGUAAUGAAGAAGGUAGAAUAAUCAUAAUCAAUAUGGAAAUUCAAGAUCUUCAUCUUAUUAAACUUGUAAGCACCUGAUGAAGUUCAUGCAAUAAACUAAUUUUAUAAAAACAUAAAGGAAGUAGAUUAAGUGACGAGCACAAUCUUGGUGCUUUUAAUAAUAGUAAGGGGAAUAUGAAUUAUCUACUCUCAGCUUUAGAUACAAAAAAAACUACAUAAAAGUUUAAACAGCCAAUCAAUGGUUUAAAACAAAAUGAAAACACAUAAACUAAUAGACAAUUGGCGACAAUUAAAUUAAUAUAAACAAUACACACGGAAAAGGAAAAAUUCUACAAAUGGAGCUAGAAGAUUAGACUUUUUUUUAUAAUAUGCACACAAGCACGCAUAAAUACGAUAUCUACUAACUUCAGGCCAGCACAAAUUUCAUUCACAUACCACCUAGCUAUAAGACUUAAAUAAGACAUUUUUACAAACAAUCGUUGUAAAGGAUAACUUAGAAUGAAUUUUAGUAUAUAUUAAGUGAUACUCAGUACAUUUGAUAGUCUUACCAGUAUCAUUAACUAAUAAAAAUUGAAAACAACACGUUUAAUAAUUUCUUGCGCUUUUCUGGAUGUAUCUUCAUCAGGAACGCUCAAAGCCAAACAUUUGAAAUUCCGAAGAUAUGUAUGAGCUAUAUGUGAAAAAAAACCCUAAAAUGAAUAGCCAAACUCAUCUAAAGCCAACUUUGCCUGAGGGAGUUGAAACCUUAGUUUCAUAGUAAUUUCAAAAUUUAUAAACGGACAAUUUUAGUAAAGUUGGUUAAAUCAUGUCUGUACCGAAACACAGAAUACUGAGCUGAUGAUACCCUCGGGGACUGCUAGUCCACCAGCAGAGAUAUAAUUAAUGAGUUAAUUGAAAAGUACGAGCAAAUUUAAAUGUCCUUAAUCAGUGGGAUUUGCAAAAAAUUGAUAUAUGACAGUCCAAUAUCCAAUACUAUUAAUCUUAAGCUAAAGAAAGAGAAACUAAUACUUUAGUAAUAGAAAACAAACUAGAUCUUUUAAAUGAAAGAUUAGAAAAAUUAACUGAUGGAAAAAAUAAUGAUCUUCUUAUUCAAAUAAAUAAUUAAGGUAAAAAUUUAGAAGAUAUGUACUCGUUAAAAGCCAAAGGAGCCCAAGUUAGAUAAAGAACAAAAUGGUUCAAGGAAGGUGGGAAAUACUACUUUAAUAGUACUUUUUAUCCCUAGAAAAGAAUAGACAAUCUAAAAAAUAUACUAAUAAAUUUUUAACGAAAAAUGGUGAGUUUACUGUAGAUCAACGUGAAAUUUUAGAAAUAAGUAUAGAGUAUUAUAAACCUCUUUACUAAAGCACAUGUCCUGAAACUAGUAUUUUAGAGACAUACAUAGAUAAUGCCACUAUUGACCUAUAUUUAACUCCUUGUAAAAGGAAACAAGUAGAUGGUAAAUUAACCAUAGAAUUGUUAACAUAACAUUGUUUGAAUAAUAUGAAACUAAACAAAACUCUUUGCAAAGAGGGUUUUAAAGUCGAGUUUUGUCGACAAUUUUGGUUAAAAGUAGUGUUGUCAACUGUUACCGGGUUAACCGGUUAACCGUCAGAAGGACUGAAUACAGAAUACCAAAAACUCUAACCAGUUAUCAGACUUUUUUUCGAAUUGCAAUAGAUUUGAUAUAAACGUGUAAUGAAAUAAUUUUAAAUAAUUUUGUUCUAUUCAAAAACAUCGUCGUGGUAAUUAAUUUGACAGAUCAAUUGUACAGUUUACUGAUUGCUUUUGUUUAUAAAAAGAUUUUGUUUUAAUUAGAACAGUUAUCAAAGGUAUUAAAUGGAAAGAACAUCAUCAAAUGAAUGUAUCUAAAUGUAAAUUAAUUGAGCUGGCUUCUUUUAUCUUCUUGUAUUUUUGACAAGUGUCUGGAGAAAAUUGGGUAUAUGAGAAUAAAAAAAGGUCGUCAAGGAGACAUACAGUUAUUUUUCAUAGGGAAGCGUAAAAUCACAAAUUAUAAAACAAAUAUGGGAGUUCUAUAGUUGAUAGGAAUGUACUCGUGUGCUAACAAUGAAAGAACUUAUCACACAAACUCAUUUUGAUGAGAUUCUCAUCAUUAGUAUGCAACAUUACCUUCUCGAUGCAAGUUUCGUGGUUAACUGAACAUAGAUAUGUGGUAGUGCUGGUGGGACAUAGUGUCCAUUGAAUAUAUAUAUACUCGAUUCUAUUUGUUCUAGUCCUGAGUAUGCAAAAUAUUUACCACUUGACAUUACGUACUUGAGUAAAGACUAAUAAAAUCAUUACCUAAACAACACGUUUCAUGGUGGUUACCCGUUUAAAUAUAUUGUAUCAAUAUAGAAACGUGAAAUAUAUAUUAAUAUAUAUUGCAGGAUCAUGGCCAGUAAUUGCAGUCUCUGUGGUGUUUGCGAUAAUCGUCAGAUGGCCAAAUUCGCAGUAGUCUGGUGUUCUGAAUGUGACGAAGGGCUUUGCGAAGAUUGCAAGGAACAUCACAGUAUUUCCAAGGAUGGUAAAAACCACGGAACAUAUUCAAUCACCAAGCAUAAAAAGUUACCGAGUGAAAUUCUGCAAACUGCACGAGUCUGUAAAAUACAUAAUGAAGAAUACAAGUUUUUUUGUACAAAACAUGAUUGUCCGUGCUGUAAAAAAUGUAAGAAAUCUCACAAAGACUGUAAAGCUUUAACCGACAUCAAUGAAAUCAUACAAGAGGUCAAAACAUCGAAUGCCUUUCGUGAAAUCGAACAAACCCUGCAAGAAGUCGUUAGGAAUAUGAAAAUUCUCAGUACAAACAGAAAAGAUAAUUUAGAAUCAAUAGAAAUCAAGAAAAGACAAAUUGAAGUAGAAAUAAAACAAGCCAGGACAAAGGUAAAUCAUCAACUCGAUCAACUUCAGGAUGGUUUGAUAAAAGAAUUAAUGGCAGUUCAUCAACAAGAAAGUAGUAAAAUACAAAAUAUUUUGACUUCUCUCGACAGUAAAGAAAAAGAGAUCACUGAAUUGCAGGUAUUCUUUGAUAAUAUUAAACAGAAAGCGUCGGAUCUUCAAGCAUUUUUAACCAUGAAAGAAAUUGAAAAAGGUUUGGCAGAUGAAGAAAAAAAUAUUCAAUCGAUUGCCAAUAGUGGAAUCACCAAUAAAGUCAAUAUAUCAUGCCAAAUAAGCCAGCUUCUGCAGCAAAUCACCUCAAAUGUUUCGAAGUUUGGAGAUAUCAAUGUCAGUUCUGAUCCAUGCCAGUUGUUUAUUCACAAUCGGAAAGACAGACAAGCCCAGAUUAUGUUAGCUGUUCCAACAAGAAAUAUCAGUAAUUUAGUUUUGACGUUACAGAAACAUAUCGAUACAAAGUUAUCAGAUGUCCAAGGCUGUUCUCUGCUACCUAAAGGUAGGAUGGUAUUCUCCUGUUAUGAACAAGAUAAAAUAAGAGUCCACAAAUCUAACGGAUCAAAAGAUUACGAAAUCAAUGAUAUUGGUAAAGCGGUCGAUGUGGUUUUUAUUGGAGAUGGCUGUAUUGCUGUUACAUCUGGUCAUUCAAAUAAGAUAAGUAUGAUCGAUAUAAAAAACAAAAAAGUGAAAAAAUUAAUAACAGUUAAUUCAGACAAUUAUGGAGCAGUGUAUAAAGACGGACAUUUGAUUUAUUGUGCCGCGGAGAAAGGGUUAAAGAUGAUUAGUCUGAGUGAUGAAUCCAUUACCAAUGUUACCAGAAACAAACUUACGACCUGGUCAUACGUUACAUUAUUCGGUAGAAAUUUGAUCUAUACAAAUCCUGACAGUCAUACCGUUUCCUGUUGUGAUUAUGAUGAAAACAUACUGUGGACAUUCUGUGAUAAAAGUGUUCUGUGCCUUCCACGCUGUAUCUCUGUAGACAAAGACGGAAACAUAUAUGCAGUUGGAAAUCUUACUCACAAUGUGGUCGUCAUCUCUCCAGGUGGGCAACGCUACAGACAACUUUUGUCACGUGAUGAUGGCCUCAGUUACCCAAAUGUUCUGCACUAUGACAUAUCUACCAAUAAAUUGUUAGUUGCAAAUGCAGCCAAUGACGCGUUCGUAUAUGAUGUUAAAUGAUAAAAAAAAAACACAAAACAAGGUUAACAUCUAUAGUAUAGGA
rnacentral:lncRNA from 1 species